rnacentral:tRNA from 1 species
GUAACGGUGGUUCAGUGGUAGAAUUCUUGCCUUCCAUGCAAGAGGCUCAGGUUCAAUUCCAGCCAACACA